GAUGAACGCUGGCGGCGUGCUUAACACAUGCAAGUCGAACGGAAAGGCCCAAGCUUGCUUGGGUACUCGAGUGGCGAACGGGUGAGUAACACGUGGGUGAUCUGCCCUGCACUUCGGGAUAAGCCUGGGAAACUGGGUCUAAUACCGGAUAGGACCACAUUUUGGAUGGUGUGGUGGAAAGUUUUUCGGUGUGGGAUGAGCUCGCGGCCUAUCAGCUUGUUGGUGGGGUAAUGGCCUACCAAGGCGUCGACGGGUAGCCGGCCUGAGAGGGUGUACGGCCACAUUGGGACUGAGAUACGGCCCAGACUCCUACGGGAGGCAGCAGUGGGGAAUAUUGCACAAUGGGCGCAAGCCUGAUGCAGCGACGCCGCGUGGGGGAUGACGGCCUUCGGGUUGUAAACUCCUUUCGCUAGGGACGAAGCGCAAGUGACGGUACCUGGAGAAGAAGCACCGGCUAACUACGUGC
rnacentral:rRNA from 1 species